AAAUAUUUCAAAAAAAUUUAGCUAAAGUUAGAGUAGUUGAAUGGCUACAGUAUUUUUUCCUCUGUACUUUGAAGCAUAAACACCCAUACUGUGUAAUAGAAGAGUUUUUCAUCAAUAUCAAUCAAGUACCAUUAUGUUGGUGACACAGAUAUCACUUUACAAAAGGCUGAGAAAAUCAGACUUAAAAUACAACAAUUUAGCAAAAUAUUAAAAGUAGAUAAGAGGACAUAAGCUGUAUGAAAUCCUCGUGCAUUCAUAUAAUUAUUUACUUAGGGAAGAAUAAUAAAACUAAACCAAAGAAAAUUUUAAAAAGAAUUAUAAUUUGCCAGAAAAUAGAAAUGUAUGACUUGAGAGAACAUUUACAUUUCUAUCAUAUUGACAUAAAAAUGGAAAGAGUAUAGUUAGGAAAAUUUUCAUGAAUUAUUCCAUGGAGGAUAUAUUGUUCUCUAUAUUUAAAAAAUAAUGCUAUGUAGUUUUGGUUGAAGAACUGGAAAGUACGAUAAACAACAGAUCAAGCAAUCCAUGGAAAAUGGAUUAGAAAAAAGAAAUGGAGUCUUCUGGGGAUGGUAGUAGGUGAUGUCAUCAGUGAAAGCCUUAUAAACCACUUAUAAACUUGGAUGAACAACUCACAAAAUGCAAUAUCUGCAUCAGUGAGGUUUAAUGUUUGUGUCCGGUGACAUAAAGCAGUUGUAUUAAAAUAAAUUCUGCUUUAAUUAGUGAUAGAAUUGUCAAUCAUAGAGUACGUAGGAAACGAGCAUACAUGGUUCCAUAUCUAUUUACUAGUCUAAAAAGUGUCCUUUUAAUUUAUAUAAAAAAUACUGUCAGAUUCUAGCAGAGAAGUUGCAAUUUUCUAGAAAUUAUACUGGGUAAUACUUUAAUAACUAUUUUAAUCAUAUUCUUGUCACAUGGGUGUUGCAAGAACAUAGCUGUACCCUAGCUAAAGACAUGACAUUAAGAUCUCAUUUUCAUAAAUUUUAAUAAAGGCUAAAUCAACACAGAUAUUUAUAAAAAUAGCACAGCUUCGGAGUAAUACCUGCAGUGUUUAAAUAUCAGCCUCACUUGACUCACAGGUUUACGUGUAGGUCUUAAGUUACUAAUGAGCUGGAACAGGAAAAUAUUUAAAGUUCUCAUAGGAAUCCAAAAAUAUUAGCAAUAGUAGUAGUUCCCUCAGCACACGGGCUUGAACUUCAUGGAUCUGAGUGGGAAUUAGUUCACUCUCAUUUAAAUAACUGUGUGAACUUUGUCAAACUGCCUAAUCUUUCUGGAUCUGAGUUUGUACUUUGUAAAAUGAGAUCUGAGCUCCCUAUUUCACAUGAUCGUUGUGAAGAAUAAGUAGAACAAGCAGCACAAGCAGUAUCUAACCAACACAAGGGCUCAGUGAAUAACUGUGCGUCAUCGUAACGGCUGACGUUAUUCUACUGGAACACACAGCCAGGUUUCUUUUCUAGCACUGAUUGAUCCCGGUGGCUUCACAGCACAUUUGGAAUAUAAAUCAGUGUCCUGAUCUGACACAUAAGGCCGUGGAUUAUCCUGUCCCUGCUUCUUUCUACAGUCUCUUAGCUCUUCCAAUCUCAUGUUCUAGGCCUGAAACAAUCUUUCUCCAAACACUUCUAUUGUUCAUUCCCUCCCUUCAUUCAGGUCUGUGAUCAACUGCAAUGUCCUCAGAAAGGCUUACCUGUUCACUGUCCCUUACUGUAGCCCUCGCUCUUCCUUUUCACCAAAUCACGUAGCCACCAAGUAUUACAUUAUAUAUAUCUCGCUUCUUAUUGUCUUUAUUCCUUAUUAGAAUGUAAGCCCUAAGAGGGCAAGGAAUUACCUGUCUUGUUCAUUCGUUAUUGUCUAAAAUUGUUUCUAGUACAUAGAAAGCGACCAAUAAAUAUUUCUUAAAUGAAUAUAAUAAUGAUUAUCAAUCUAUUUUGCUUGCUCAUAUAUAGAUGCCAUAUUGACUUUUGUUGACUAUUAAUAUGGAAUUAAUGUAUUUUUCAAAGUGGGGUGGCAUUGGGUAGUUCUUGGGUACAGUAAGAUUUUUUUGAAAUCUUUCUAGAGAUUAUGACUUUGAGUUUUAACUUGUUUGGACUUAUUAUUCCCAGGAGGAAAAAAAGGUAAUGACAUUGUACUGUUCAGUCAAAAGAGGUCCUUUGAUGGCUGCUGUAGAAAUUCUCAUAUAAAUAAGUUCCCACGAAGAGUGAUGAAUAUGAAAACAUGUUCAAUGCAUGAGAAUUCUGCUUCACAUCUUAGAAUACAACUUGGUAACAAAUGCAUUGUUAAGCUUACAAGGCUACAAAGCCUACAAGGUAGCUUCAUGUUCUUUUAUAUGAUGUAAAACGGCAUUAGAUAUCAAAUACAUUAAAG
rnacentral:lncRNA from 1 species